rnacentral:rRNA from 1 species
GACGAACCGUGCGAACGUUGUUCGGAUUCACUGGGCUUAAAGGGCGCGUAGGCGGGUGGCUCAAGUCGGGGGUGGAAAGCCCACAGCUCAACUGUGGAAGUGCCUCCGAUACUGGGCGCCUGGAGGGAGGUAGGGGUGCGUGGAACUUCCGGUGGAGCGGUGAAAUGCGUAGAUAUCGGAAGGAACGCCGGUGGCGAAAGCGACGCACUGGACCUCUUCUGACGCUGAGGCGCGAAAGCCAGGGGAGCAAACAGG